AUGCCUUCCUUGCCAAAGGAACAACAGAGACCCUUGACAUCUGUGAGCAAACAAAGGCUUAUCCAUGCUACAGCUACAACCUGGGCUUUUACACACAGAUAUAAGGAGAGCAAUUUCCAGGAAGCCAGAAGCUCCCCAGACCCUGCCGAGCCUCCCAGUGAAACGCACGUCAAAGCUUGUCAGCUUCCACGGGCAGCUGCAGAGCUCCCAGCAUCUCUGGCCCUGGGGCAAAUCCACCAGGUGCAUCUGCUCCAGUGCUCACAGUGCUCACAGUGUUUCUCCCGUCCUGGAAGAGAUCUGCCAGGAGUACAGGUGGGUUUCUUCAAGCUCUCUUCCUCAGGCAUUGGGAAGUCAACCGUUCUCAGCACAGUUCCAGCAAAAUAAGCCAAGCUUAAGGAAUGGUGUUUCAUGGGAACAUUUCUGACCAGCCCAAUUCUUUGGGAUAAACCUUCAAAGAAGAAAGUUGUUGGCUGAAGGAGCUUUCUCAUUACACGGAUAUCUAAUUCAUCUGCAACAUGACUGCCUUGCAUGAGCAUCCAGCCUCGAGCGAUCCUCUCUUUUAAGCUGGCUGCCAACAAAUACAACUCCAUAUGGAAAUGUCAAGACAGCGAACACCCCAGCAGUGCUAAUGGUUACUGGGGUGAUGUCAGUGGAUGAUGGUUUUGAACAUCCAAACUGCUGUCUUUAAAAGCAGAAGAUCCUGGUACUAUUUUAUGACUUCGUUGGGUGUAUCUUCCCUUCAUAUGCCUAGGCCCAGUGAGGAAAACAUCCAUAAACUGUUUGGAUGGCUUUAAAACAGAUUCAUCUGAAGCAGCCCAUAUGGAUAGGACAAGCUGGCAAACCACGCAGCAUGCUACAGCUUGUCACGAGGCCAGCAACUCCUUGCCAUAAAAUGGGCAGCUUCUAGACCCAUUUAAUCACACUUAAACCAGCUUUUUAUCUCAUUUGUUCUGCGUCAUAACUUUCCCUCCAAACGCUAUAAACCACUGCGGCAACACUAUGAAGUACAGGCCAGGCACAUUUUAGAGUCAUCUGCCUUGUUCUCACACUUUGUUUAAAUCAGUAUUUCAUGAGAAAUAUCUGCUUUCUGCAGAUUUUUUUCAAUGCCACUCUUUCUCCACGCACACCCCAGAGCCCUCAAAGAGGCACAUCCAUGCCCAAAGUUCAUUUUCCCAUGAUGAAAUUACAACAAUUUUCUGCCACAACACAGUUGCUGAGGGCUUGGGCAGCAGGUGCAGUUCUGAUGCUUCCAGCCAUCUGGAAAGGUGACCUAAAGGGAUGUGUUAGGAUUCUUUCUGCCCAGGAGAACCCCAAAAAGGGCACAGAUGGUUUUGUGUCACCUGCUCCCAGACACAGAGGCUAUUGGUAAUAUAACAGUUGUUGGGUUGCAGAAAGGGACAGACACAGAGCCAGAUAGAUAUUUCUAAGUCACUGUUUCCCUUCAUUUACACGAAAGAAAACCCAGCAAUACCAAAACUUCCAUAUUCAUCCUGGCCCUGUAGCAAAACAGAGAGCAAACCUGAAUUGACUGAUACCCCAUCUGGCACUUGAGUGUCAGUUCCCUCUGCUCAAUAGAUGUUGCCCAUCACAGAACCUCAAGAGUUAAAGUACCCAGAUAAGCAAUAACCUCCUGAGAGGGAGGGAAAAACACAUCUGCUUUUUAUUUUUGUAGCCUAGAGUCACUGUGCUCCAUGUUUGAAACGUCUGCAUUUCAUAUAAACAGAGAGAAGUCCUCAUAAUUUAUGCAAUGAUACACCAACACAUUAAAAGGGUUAUAUUUUACUCUAAUGAGAGAAGGAAGGUAUCAUUUCCUUCAGGUGAGGAAGGAAAAGUUGUAAUAAAUGCCAAAUGGGCACCCUUGAAGUCCUAUAA
rnacentral:lncRNA from 1 species